UGCAGUGAUAAAUUUACAUCUUAUGCUUUAACAUAAGCUUAAAUCUUAUGCUUUUUGACAUACAGAUAACCAGCAUAUACUGUAUUUGUACUUUCAAGUAUCAAUAAACAGUUACAUAAGCAUCCUUUAGGAUCACCUUACGCAGAAAUACUAUUGCUUACACAUAACCACAAAAAACUAUGACAGCAGUUGCGUCAGUUUUUCAUUUCUACUGUUAAAAUAAUGAGGAAUUCUCGGGUAAGAGGCAAAAUACAUGGAAUACCUUUUCUGCAGGCACCCAACCCCCUCCAGGAAGAUUAUAGGGUGGCCUUGACAAGGGUUCUUGAGUCUAGCAAACCCAAGUCAGAUCACUACAGGAAGAUAUAAGGAGAGAAUCAACUGAAACUCCAAUGCAAUGAUUCAGAGCACUUACUGCUGCUUCCCCAAGCAGAAAGCUACCACAGCUGCUGCUCCUAUCCUGCAGAAAUGGCCAGAAGAGGAACUGUGUCUGGGCUCCGAUGGAAAGAACUGUAUCCCCAGGGAAGAAGUGAGAGCAAACUCUGGAAAGUCUGUGGUUGCAUUCAUAUCAAGAGACUAUCAGGCUUGGAUUUCUCUCUUACCCUAUCAGUUCUCCACCAUGCUUUUCGUCACAGAUACUGACUCAGUUAUAGCUUGUCUGGAAUUAUUUAAUUUCUUCUAAAAAUGCUUACUUUGUCCAAAGCAAAUUCCCCAUG